rnacentral:rRNA from 1 species
CGGGGUGCACCAGGCGCGAAAACUUUACAAUGCUGGCAACAGCGAUAAGGGGACCUCGAGUGCCAGGAUACAAUCUUGGCUGUCGCGAUGCCUAAAAAGCAUUGCAUAGCAAGGGCCGGGCAAGACCGGUGCCAGCCGCCGCGGUAACACCGGCGGCUCGAGUGGUAACCGCUAUUAUUGGGUCUAAAGGGUCUGUAGCCGGCCGGAUAAGUCUUUUGGGAAAUCCAGCUGCUCAACAGUUGGGCUUUCAGAAGAUACUGUUCGGCUCGAGACCGGGAGAGGUGAGAGGUACUUCAGGGGUAGGGGUGAAAUCUUGUAAUCCUUGAAGGACCACCAGUGGCGAAGGCGUCUCACCAGAACGGAUCUGACGGCAAGGGACGAAAGCUAGGGGCACGAACCGGAUUAGAUACCCGGGUAGUCCUAGCCGUAAACGAUACUCGCCAGGUGUCAGCCACGGUGCGACCGUGGUUGGUGCCGUAGGGAAGCCGUGAAGCGAGCCACCUGGGAAGUACGGCCGCAAGGCUGAAACUUAAAGGAAUUGGCGGGGGAGCAC